rnacentral:rRNA from 1 species
CCUACGGGCGGCUGCAGUGGGGAAUAUUGGACAAUGGGCGAAAGCCUGAUCCAGCCAUGCCGCGUGUAUGAAGAAGGCCUUCGGGUUGUAAAGCACUUUCAGUGGGGAAGAAAGCCUUGGGGCUAAUACCCUCGAGGAAGGACAUCACCCACAGAAGAAGCACCGGCUAACUCCGUGCCAGCAGCCGCGGUAAUACGGAGGGUGCGAGCGUUAAUCGGAAUUACUGGGCGUAAAGCGCGCGUAGGCGGUCUGAUAAGCCGGUUGUGAAAGCCCCGGGCUCAACCUGGGAACGGCAUCCGGAACUGUCAGGCUAGAGUGCAGGAGAGGAAGGUAGAAUUCCCGGUGUAGCGGUGAAAUGCGUAGAGAUCGGGAGGAAUACCAGUGGCGAAGGCGGCCUUCUGGACUGACACUGACGCUGAGGUGCGAAAGCGUGGGUAGCAAACAGGAUUAGAUACCCUAGUAGUC